rnacentral:tRNA from 1 species
GGUCCUGUAGCUCAACGGCAGAGCAGUUCCCUCUUAAGGAAAAGGUUGAAGGUUCGAAUCCUUCCAGGAUCA